UCUGGCUCUGGCACUGGUACAAAU
rnacentral:piRNA from 1 species